ensembl:lncRNA
GUACUACUUCCAUUGCUACAAAUGGUUCUAUCUCCACUAUUACAAAAUAUUACAAAAAAUAAUGCAUGCAUUAAGAAGGCCAUUUUCAACUCUGCUAAAUUAUGUUCUGUUUCCUCUCUGCCCUGUCUGGCCCUCAGCAUUUUUAUGUGAACUUCUUUCUGCUUCCUGCUUUUCUGCAUGCCAAACUGCAUUCUUCCAUGUGAAGUGGGACAUGAUGGAAUGUUCAACAUGUUGUUUUCAGAACCUGGAUCUGUUGAUCUGGCUUUGCAGCUCUUUUGGUGUAUGAACAUCUUACUACGGAGAGAUUUCCCUCUGAAUUCUGGCCAAGCCUUAACUGCUAAGAAAUCUGAUGUUAAAUUAAAAAAUACAAAUGGACUGAUCAGGCCAUAAAACUGAAAUCAAGAUAUGUAAUGAACAGGUGCCACAGAACUGACGAACAAUUCACACUUCUAAAUAGUAAAGUUUCCAGCUACAGAUGAUAUUAGAACAAAGAGCUACAUAACAGCAGAUUAAAGAAUCCCUCCCCAUAUCAAAAUACAGUAUCUCGUCUAUUUCACGGCCAAGGCAUAUAGUGUGGAAGGUGAAAAAAAUGAUUGGCUGGGACAUGUUUUCCCAAGCUGCAAUGGAAAUUUCAUGGAUUGAACCAGUGAUUGAGCACCUGGUGGGAAGGCAGGGUCAACCGAGGGGAGCUCAGGUGCAUGCAAUGUACCUGAGUCACCGGAAUGGAUGGGUGGAGCCAGGAUUCACCUCUUCUCAGACCUGGACAUUCCUGAGGCCUUCUGAAGAGCCUUGAUGAAACAUCCAGCUCAGGAAACACAAUGGCUUUAAACACUUCACUGAAAAGAGAACUUUUUAUAUGGAAACAUCCCAGUCCACAGCUAGAAAACUCACAGCAAGAAACAAGAAAAAAGUCAAAGAACUUUGAAGAUGCUUAUUCUUUGUUCUCUGAGCAAUGGCCUAGUCACCCUUUCACUAUCUUGUGCUUGAAUCAUUUUCAUGUAUUGUUCUCAGAGGCUUGCCAUCUGAGAGUGUCAUAUUCUCUGUGGUAAAGAAACAUGAACAUGCAAUUUGGGAUCAAGUAGUUUUGUUUACAAAUAAAUACAUUUUUGUUUUCAAAGAUAUCC